rnacentral:rRNA from 1 species
GGGAAACCGGAGCUAAUACCGGAUAAUAUAUUGAACCGCAUGGUUCAAUAGUAGAAAGUACGGUUUUGCUGUCACUUAUAGAUGGAUCCGCGCUGCAUUAGCUAGUUGGUAAGGACGCUACAGAAACGAUGCGUAGCCGACCUGAGAGGGUGAUCGGCCACACUGGAACUGAGACACGGUCCAGACUCCUACGGGAGGCAGCAGUA